GAGAACAGUGACCGAGAACAUUAUCCACGUCAGCGUUUUGUGUUAUUAUUUAGACGUUUAUUAACACCAUUUCACUGCAUAGUAUCACAUACUUACACCACAAUUCGCGUUGGAGAUGGGACUUGGUUGAUAUGUUAUCUAGGUAACGCUAGAUAGUUGCUAACAAUGGCUAAUUGUAUGGAGUUUCACACUCAAAUAGCCUCCAUUAUGGAGGUGCUAGCGAAUGCAGCCGUGGCAGAGAUUUGUAAACUCGUAGAUGACGACUAUGCAGUGCUUCGUUUGGAAGUAACUCAAAGCCAGAAAGAAAACAGGGCAUUGAGGAGGAAACUACAACUAUUGGAACUGAAGGUGGCACAGGAGCGUGUCCUUCCCAGUAAUGUCAAGAUCCUCGACCGAUACAGAGGAAUUGCAAGAGGGGAAGGACAUCUCACUGGAGGCCACAGGAUCUUUGUGAAGCCAGCGGGACACAAUACAUGGAGACAUGACCAACCAGUCACCGUUGAUGAGGGGAGUGGAACCUUUAUCAUGAUAGAGUCUGCAGAGGCUGCAGGUCCUGGGGUCAAGCUUGAGAGGUCUGAAGGAGAGGGAGACCCAGGGCAAAGCAGAGACAUCCAGCUUGGAGCAGCUGGAACGCCCCCUGUAGCCACAGAGAACCCCACCACCGCCCCAGCGCCCCCCAGGACCCGAUGCAGCAUCAUGGAGGUCAGUGGCACGCCGAACGCCGCCGUCAAGACAGAGACAGACACAGAAACAGAGACUUUAACGGGGCGACUGGACUGUCCUGCUCCUCGCUCAGAGAAUUUACUUCAUGGGAACCUGAGCCCGAGGAAGGUUCUGUCCCAUCAGGACUCAGGUGAUGCGUUACAGACUGGCAAUGAUCCAUCCUGUUCAUAUGCAGCAGAGACAGAGAUGAUACCUGCUGACAUGCCUGUGGGCUUAGAUACACAGACAAAUCUAAUGAGAGAGGACUGGAACCAGUACAGUAGUAGUGUAUACUCUGAAGGGUCUCUAGAUAAGAAAGGGGAGGGUCUGGUCGUAGAUGAGGUCACUGUGAAAGUGGAGGAUGACGUUCCUCUGACAUGGAAUGAAGACCAGACUCAUUUAGGAGGACAGUCGCAGGACAACACUAGUGACUUCUUAGACUACAGGGAAAGCUUAGAGACCAAUCUAAAUGUGUUCAGGGAUCGUGACCCAGUGUCCGCGUUGAUGGGACCUUCUGAUUCGCAAAGCUGCGUCCUUUUUGAUCAGGUGCUGAACUCAAACGACAGGACUAUGGCCCAGGCUCAGGGAGGGGGAGCAACAUCGGACAAUAGUAAAGAGAAACGGUUCCUCUGCAUGUUCUGUAACAAAGGCUUCAGCUGCUCCCAGAAGGUGGAGAUCCACCAGAGGGUCCACACAGGAGAGAAACCAUACAGCUGUACCCAGUGUGAUAUGCGCUUCGCUGAGGCUGGCAGCCUGAAGAGGCACCAGAGGGUCCACACAGGAGAGAAACCCUUCAGCUGUACCCAGUGUCAUAUGCGCUUUUCCCACUCAUCCAGUCUGAAGAGACACCAUAGGGUCCACAACCCUACAGCUGCCCCCACUGUGAGAAGAGGUUCUCCCACCAGAACCAGGUGAAAAUGCAGCUGAAGGUCCACACGGGAGAAAGGCAGUUCGCCUGUACCCACUGCAGGAAGAGGUUUUCAGAGAGGAGCUACCUCAACCUACACCAGCAGAGUAACCAUUACACUCUAUUAACAUAAACUCCCCAACGGGCUCGGGAGGCGAAGGUCGAUUCAUGCACCCUCCGAAACAUGACACGCCAAACUGCGCUUCUUAACACCUGCCCGCAGGAAGCUAGCUGCACCAAUGUGUCGGAGGAAACACAGUUAAACUGACAACCGAGAUCAGUCUGAAGGCGCCCGGCCCGCCACAAGGAGUCGCUAGAGCCAAGUAAAGCCCCCCCGGCCAAAUCCUUCUCUAACCCGGACAACGCUGGGCCAAUUGUGCGCCGCCCUAUAGGACUCCCGAUCACGGCCGGUUGUGAUACAGCCCCGGAUCAAACCCGGGUCUAUAGUGACGCCUCUAGCACUGCGCCACUCCGGAGGCCAAAAUGGGACUUUACAUUUGAAGACUUUUAGACCCACAUACUAACAAACACCUACUGUACACUUCAAAAUAGUUUAGUCAGGUUUGUCUGAUGGUUACUUAUCAUAGCCGACUUAUAUUUACCUACAACUUUAUAUUUAUGUCCACCAUAAUGGGUUUAAAAACGAUGAUGUCAUUCUGUAACUACAGUACUCAGACGUAGUGGGGAUGGGUAAAAACUCAAUGUUGAACGAGUGUUUAUUAUCUGUAUGUAUGUGUAUGUACUUGAGGGAGUGUAUGUCUGUGUAAUCUGGAUCACCUCCCUCUUCCAGGAGGAGGGUCCAGAGGUGCUGCUGGUGAAGAAAGAGGGGUGUGGGGAGGGUCUGGG